AUCUACAGACGAAUUAAGUCACAGCAACACGGUCAUACUGUGUUUUCUAAGCUGCAUGACAUCAUCAAAUAACUGCUUAGAAACAACGUAUUUAUCGAUUUAUCAUUUAACUCCACAAGAUCCCUGUGCGGGACAUUUCAUCAUAGCCGUUUUACAGAUGAGGAAACGGGCCGAGAGGCAGGCACGGGACCGUCCGGCACAGUCCAUCUUCCAUGAAAUCGGACUGGAGCACAAAACUGCCCAGGUAGAGGCCACCUUGUCUCAGCACUCCCCCGACACCUCCCUCCUGAGAUGAGGCGUGGCCCUGUCCACACCAGGUUUCCAAGGGAAAAAGAGCCAAGCGAUGGGGGUAACGGUCGCCUCACUUGUUUGGCCACGGCUCGUCCCGGACUCGGUCCCUUUCCCCUUCUCCCCGUGACCCGGCACGUGGACGUGCCAUAACUCACUUUCAAUCAUGAAAGCCAGGACAACACCCAGAGGCUGCCCCACGCCCUGGACUGCUCACCUCAGUCCCUCCUCUCUUCUCUAAUUCAUGGUAAGCAGCCUAGCUUUGGUCGUGAUGCGCCAAGGUCGCCCAGCGUGGUGGUGGACGGGCCCGGCGGUAGACUCCAGGUUCUAAUACAUCACUCUAUGUGCCAGGCCCUGUCUCCAGGUACCAGGGUUGAAGCAAUGAACGAAACCACCAAGGAUGCGCCCCCAAAGGUGGAUCUCUUAAAAACGUCCAUCCUGUCAUCACCCCCUGCUCCAAGCCCUCCACGGCUUCCCACGGCCAUCAGGAUAAAGGCCACUCUGCUUUCUGUGGCUUUCAAAGUCAUACACAGUGAGGCCCCUGCAGCCUUCAAUGUCACCUGUGUCCUUUCCUGCACUCACUCCCCGGGACACUGCCUGCCUGUGACCCUCAAGCAGGACAAACUCUCUGCUGCCUCAGGGCCAUUGCACAUGCUGUCUUCUCUGUCUACAGCACUCUUCUGGAUCUGAAGCUGCCUCUCCAGAAAAGCCUUCUCCAACCAAUGCCCCAUGGAAGCCUUCGGAUCUGAGCUCAGAUACGCACUGCUUCGGGAAGCCCUCCCCGGCCCUCGCUCUGGCUCUGGGCGUCUGCAGCUCUGUCGGCUUCCCCCAUCCCAGCCCUGACCGCUCUGGGUUCUCACGCUCCACCUUCCUCUGCGCUUCCUCGCUGCUGAGUCUUCUGCAGUGCCCGGGACCCGUAAAGGUACCAAAAUAUAUUUAUGGGAAAGCAGAAGGAUCGUAGCAAGUAUUUUUAAAAGGUCAUUUUUAUAUUAAUAACACCAGCAGAAUGAACAUUCAGGAGGGCCUCCCAUCCGAGGUUCUGCACCAGAUGCAGGUGCAGAUACAUCACUGAAUUCUCACUACGUCACUGUUUAUUACCUCCAUUUUACAGAUGAGGAAACUGAGGCUCAGGGAGGUGAUGCUGCUUGCCCAGGGUCUCACAAGCUGGGAAACGGCAGAGCAGGGAGUGAGGUGAGCCCUUCAGCCCUGGCAGCCAUUCCCCUGAUCUCCCGCCUUCUUCUGGAACCCCUGCUGUCCCUCCCGCCCUGCCCGGAAAGCCCCCACCUAUGGCUCUGCACUUGAACGUCUUGGGGUCCAGGUGGCGGAGCUGCAUGUGGGCCAGAGCAGUGGGGCCGGCGCAGGCCCCAGUCCCCACGCUGGCAUUCACGGUGGGCAUCCACUGCAGCAGCCAGAGGACGCGGCAGUCACACUGGAUCGGGUUCCCGCGGAGGUCCCUGGGGCAAGAGGCCGGGGAGGGGCUGCGACCUGGCUUCCACCGCCCCCUGGAGGCCACACUCCCCGCCCCCUCCCCGGGCAAGGGUUCGGGAUGGGGCCCCAGAGGUGAGUGAGGAAAUAUGUGAGGACCGUUGCAGCCGUAACUUAGUUAUGUCAACCGAAAGUGGGCACAGCAAUCCGCUUCCCUCUCAAACAUUCCCCAACUCCCCGACCCGCCCAGCCCCCUUGAGCCUCACACAUGAGUUAGGGUCUCCAGGCCUCGGAACAGGAAUCUGGGGAGGGUCUCGAGAUUAUUACUGGCCAGGCUCCUGGUGGAAGGAGAGAGAGAGAGGAGGAACCGUCACCAGCUACCUGGAUGCCCCUCGUGAUGGGGUGAUGGGGUCCGGGGGAGCCUGUCAGGGCGGGCUGGUGAGCAGAGGGGCGAGGCCUUGGGGGCACGCACAGGUGUGUGAGUGAGCGAAGUCCUCUGAGAGCGUUCUUAGAGAUGGAGCCAAUGUCAUUGUCCUCGAUGAAGCUGUGGAGAGAAGGCAUGGUGAGCGGGAGGCCCUGGGUUCCCUGCUGUGGCCCCGUCGUGCUUGGGGGGAACUCACCCCACGGGAGCCCUAGGCCCCUGGAAUGUGCCGACGCCUCCCCGGAAACCUCUCCUCCCCAGGGUCCCAGACUACAAUCCCAGGAGCCAGGAGCCUAACCCUGUGCUCGUGUCCAGCCUGACAGCGAACGCUGCCACCCCAUCACCACCACUGCCACCAUUUCCAGAAGCACUGGCACUGGGACAGGCGCUCCCGGUACCAACGGCCCCACUGUCCCCAGCACCCCCUUCUCUACCCGCCACGAGCACCCCUACAGCCACAGUUUUCCCACAUACCGGCACCUCCGUCGUCCCCGCCAAGCCCAGUACCUACCACGUCGCCCUUACGCCCACACGACGCCGACGCCGACAUCCUACCCACAGCCGCCGCCAAUAGCAACACCGAUAUGUGAUGGCCAACACCCACGACAAUGAUAACACUAACAUCGACCGCUCAGACUCCGUCAUCAAUAUCGCCACCGGCGCGAUCGCCAUCGGGUCCGCCAUCUUUGCCAACGUCAUCCCCACUCCGUGGUCCUCCUUCGUGCCGACACUUCCCCGCCAGCGGCCGCAGCAUCGCCUUCAACCCCGUUAUCGCCAACACCGGCCCGAUGCCGGCGUCGUCCUACCGCCUUCCCCGCCACCCCUACCAUCACUGCCUCAGAGUUGUCUCCCGUUAAUUCGAAACAUCUCCUUGCCUCCGGCCUCUCUGUCCGCUCUCCGGGCUCCCGUAAGUCGGGUAGGGCCAGAAACAGUCUUGGGUUCCCUAGGCCCUUUGUGCACCUUGCAGCACAGAGAGGGGAGGUGAGCAGGCUUCUUGCCAAGACGCCAGGCCUCUUGCCCCUCCAGGAGGGACCCUUGUCCGGACCCUCCCGCCCGUGCCAGUAAGUCUCUAUACCUCCCUCCACUCUAGGAGCCACACUCUACCAAGCCCCCGUCCCUGCCCCCAUCCCCUGGCCUCACUCACAGGUACUGCAGGUGGGACAGGCCCGCAAAUGCAUCGUCCUCAAUCACAGAGAAGGAGUUGGAUGUGAAGAGGCUGGCAAGGGAGCAAGAAAGAAUUUUUGCAGAGUUGCUGCCCCCUCUCUGACAUUUUAACCUCGGCCUCCACCCUCAACCCAGGUGCGCACUGUCUCACACACACACACACACACACACACACACAUGCACACGGUGCUUUCACAGACAUGCACAUACACGUAUGUGUGCGCCACCCCCCGCCACGCACCUGCGUGAACACCCACCCACUCCCUCGAGCUAGUUGUCCACUCAGCUGGGCCCCACUCACAGCAGGUGCAGUGUGGGCACCCUCAGGAAGCUUCCGGCCUUCAGCUGGGUGAUUCCAGUCCUAACGAGUGAGCUGGGGACGUGGGCGAUGGUGGGUGAGGAGAAAACCGCCCCCAGGCUCCAGCCCCGCCCCAGAGCCGUCCCCUGUCUGGGGGACGCUGGCAUGCCACCCCAACCCUGGAUGUAUUUCCUUUACAUCCCAGGGACACAGGCAUUUGCCCUCCUCACUUGGCGAGGAUCCUGGCAACUUUCAGUCCUCCCUCCAGCUGUCCCCCUUCUGGGGCCCCAAACGUUGCCCCUGUGCUUUGGGAUUGCCCUUCCGCUCCUGUCCCAAUCCCAGCAGCCCCCUGUGAGGCAUCCCAACAUCCUUUGCUGCCCACCUCCCAAGAUCCCGAAGGGCCAUGCCCUCGGGGGCCCGGCCCCCUGCCCCCAAGCCCUGGGGCCCCAGGACUCCCAGCCUCACCCUCGCGGUGACACUCACAGUGACAGCAGGGUCGGGGAGAAGCUCUCGGGCAGGUCUGGAGAGCCCUCACACAGGGCACUAUCCUUGGAGCAGGAGCAGCUCGGAGGGCACUUUCCCUUUGGUGGUCUCCAGGCCACCCCGGCGCCCGCUCCGGCCAGCAGCAGCAGCAGCAGCACAACGCCUGCCCCUCCCAUCCCCCCUCACCCCCGCUGCGCCCCGGCUCCUCUCUGCCCACCCAGCUCUGUGGGCUGGGGCCACUACACGUCCCAUGCCAGGCGACCGUCCAUUCCUCCAGCUGGCACGCCCCGUCCUGGCUUCGCUCUCCUUCCUCCGUCUCUUUCAGCCUGUCUUUCUUCCCUAUCCCUUUGGUGUCUGAUUUUCUGUUUACUUCUUUUUCCCUGUCUGUCUCUGUCCCUUUUUGUAUUUCUGACUCAGGGAGUCAGCCUGUUUUCCACUCUCUCUCUUUAUUUCCGUCUGUCUCUCUAUCUCUGUCUCUCUCUCUGAGUCUCUGUCUGCCUGUUGGCCUGUGUGUGUGUCUCUCUCUCUGUCUGUUAUCUUUAUUUCUCACCCCCCUUUCCAGUUCCCCGUUCUUCCCCUCCUCCCACGCCCCUUCUCCUUGGAGGUUUGGGAAAGGGACUCACUGGGCACCGGGUGCGCCCAGCAAAGCAGCGUAAGGAGGAGGAGGGGGUCAGAGGCCAUAGGAAGAGCAGCCCUAAGGAAGGGACUGGAUGGCCCCAUGGGAGGGGAGGGGCCACAAAGGGCUGGAGCUGACCACUCUCAGCCAGCCCCCUCCCCAGAUUUCCCACUCCACCCCACUCAGGGAGUGUAAGGAGGAUGUCACCCGGGUGGGGACCGGAUGGCUCUGCAGGCGGAGGGGGUGGGAGAAGAGACAGCUGGGGGCUGGAGCCAUCCUGGCCACGCCCAGCCAGCCCCCUCCCCUGGCUCCCGGAGGGUGUGAUGUGCCCGGUCACCAAGGCCCAGCUGCUCCCUCUGGUGGCCAAACAGGGCAGGGCCGCUGCCCUGCCCCAAACCCACAGCCUCCAGGCCAGCCUGAAAUUAACCCCUUGAGUGCCCACCACCCGCCGUGGAUAAGGAACCAAUGCAAGCAAACAAUGGUGGUGAUGGUGCCACCCCCUCCCUCAGCGUUGGCUCUGCACUAGGCCCUGUCCUAAAAGUUUACUAGCUCGUGCUAACAGCUGUCUAAGGUUGACCUUAUUAUAUGGCUAUUUUACAGGCACAAACGCUGAGGAGAGAGGUCAAGUAAUUUGCGAUUUGGGUUGCUGACUGGGGCUGAGCCAGCACUCAAGCCCCAGCAGCCGGCUCCAGGGCCUGUCUCGUGAUUUUUGUGUUCUUUCUUGGGAGACCAGAACUCACGAACACUGGUUGUUUUCAUUUGGACUCUGCUUUUAGCAUUAAAUAAGCAAAAUCCAGAAAUAAAUGACACGUGUUCCCCAA